GAACCCUGAGGUGUAUGUUGGCUGUAGCAUGUUCAUUGUAGGAACCAGAUCGCACCAAGAUGGGAUCUAUCAACCUCGGUAGAUGAGAGGAGUAGUCCUAUGGUGAUCGAAAGAUCGAGUCCUUAAGCCCAUGGCCAUGGCAGAGUGAAAUAAUGGAAAAGAGUUUUCCAUUGGGAUUUCACAUCGGACUCGGAUCGAUCGAUUGAUUCAUAUGACUGAUGUUGGGUUUGACGAGUUCAUCUUAACCCUAAUUCAGUCGGGACUCAUGAUAGAGG
rnacentral:lncRNA from 1 species